UUCUCGCUCUCUUCUCCGCCAGUCUGAGUCGCCAUUCUUCACUGUCCACCCCUAAGCCGAAGAAACCCAGGGAGAGAGCUCCAACUCUCCCUCUCCACCUCUCUUUCGUCGUCGGCCGCCGAAAAGGGGGACGCCGCCGAUCGCCAACGAGUCGUCUCCAUCCCUAUCUGAUUCACGUUCUAUUAUCUUCUCUCCAUGCCGAGCAAAUCCUCUUUUGACUCCAUCUUGUUUCGUCCACUGCAGCGACGGGAACGCGACCUCGUCUACGGGAGCUCUGGAGCGCGCUCCAAGCGCCGCCGCAGCCGACAUCGUCGCCGUUCCGAGCGCUGUAGACCGAGCCAAGCCGAGCCGUCACGCCAACGCCUUCUCCUUGAAGUCCUCCUCAAAACCCCUCAAUAAUCCCAGGCAAUGGCGCAGCAAGUGCGGAGAUCGGCCACCGUCUUCUUCACCUCCGGUUGCCGUCGCCAUUGUCGUUUCCGCCUCCUCCGCAGCUCGUCGUCCCGUUCGAGCCGUCGCCGUUCACCCGCAGAAGGACGCCGUCGCCGGGAGGAUGCGCGAGCCGUUGCUGUCACCAAGACCCCGGAAAAGUUCAACCUAACCCGCGGUUUUAGAUUUAGUCUUUGAGUGAUGCGGGUAAUCGACUGUUUCUUCUAGGACUUGAACUUAAUGGGGUAAACCCCUAGUCGGUGUGCUUGUGGAUUGGGUAGACAAGCUUCCGUUGUUCUCUCAUGUGUCUAUUUGGCCGGUCGGCCUAUGUAAUUAUUAAGUUGUUGUAAGUCUUAAGUUUCUUUCA